UUGCCUUUGUCCUUGGUGUAUGAUGAUGGU
rnacentral:piRNA from 1 species